rnacentral:lncRNA from 1 species
ACGGAAGGCCUCCAGGAACUAAAGCGGAGGAGGGGGCCAGCCUCAUCCUACUGCCAGCUGGCCCACAGUUCCCCAAACACAGUGAGUGAGGACGGACCUCAGGCUGUCUCUUCGGGUCACCGCUGUGAAAACAAGGCAGGUACAGCACCAGGGCACACACUCGCCCCCAGGGGAGGCUCCCCCAGAUCCCAGGCCUCUAGGCCCCACAUCAACAGUGCACUGCACGUUGAGGACAAGGCCAUCUCGGACUGCAGACCCUCACGGCCUUCCCACACUUUGUCCUCACUUGCAACAGGGGCUUCCGGUGGGCCUCCCGUUUCUAAAGCACCCACUAUGGACGCACAGCAGGACAGACCCAAGUCCCAAGACUGCCUGGGCCUAGUGGCCCCCCUAGCAUCUGCUGCAGAGGUCCCCUCUACAGCUCCCGUGUCUGGGAAGAAGCACAGACCACCAGGACCCCUGUUCUCCUCCUCAGAUCCCCUUCCUGCCACCUCUUCCCACUCCCGGGACUCAGCCCAGGUCACCUCGCUGAUUCCUGCCACCUUCACAGCUGCAAGCAGGGAUGCCGGCAUGAGAAGAACAAGGCCUGGCACCUCGGCUCCUGCAGCUGCCGCAGCAGCCCCUCCCCCCUCCACAUUGAACCCCACGUCGGGGUCGCUACUCAAUGCAGUGGAUGGAGGCCCCGCACAUUUCUUGGGCUCAGCCACAGCUGCAGCACGUGCCCAGAGGUCAGAAGUGAGAUAUAACCAGAGAUCCCAGACCUCCCGGACCAGAUCGUGCCUCAAACGAAAUGCCAGCUCCAGCUCCCACAGCUCUACGGAAGGCCUCCACGAAGUAAAGCGGAGGAGGGGGCCAGCCUCAUCCCACUGCCAGCUGGCCCACAGUUCCUCAGUGAGUGAGGACGGACCUCAGGCUGUCUCUUCGGGUCACCGCUGUGAAAACAAGGCAGGUACAGCACCAGGGCAGACACUCGCCCCCAGGGGUGGCUCCCCCAGAUCCCAGGCCUCUAGGCCCCGCAUCAACACUGCACUGCACGUUGAGGACAAGGCCAUCUCGGACUGCAGACCCUCACGGCCUUCCCACACUUUGUCCUCACUUGCAACAGGGGCUUCCGGUGGGCCUCCCGUUUCUAAAGCACCCACUAUGGAUGCACAGCAGGACAGACCCAAGUCCCAAGACUGCCUGGUCCUACUGGCCCCCCUAGCAUCUGCUGCAGAGGUCCCCUCUACAGCUCCCGUGUCUGGGAAGAAGCACAGACCACCAGGACCCCUGUUCUCCUCCUCAGAUCCCCUUCCUGCCACCUCUUCCCACUCCCGGGACUCAGCCCAGGUCACCUCGCUGAUUCCCGCGCCCUUCACAGCUGCAAGCAGCGAUGCCGGCAUGAGAAGAACAAGGCCUGGCACCUCGGCUCCUGCAGCUGCAGCAGCAGCCCCUCCCCCCUCCACAUUGCACCCCACGUCGGGGUCACUACUCAAUGCAGUGGAUGGAGGCCCCUCACAUUUCUUGGCCUCAGCCACAGCUGCAGCACGUGUCCAGAGGUCAGAAGUGAGAUAUAACCAGAGAUCCCAGACCUCCCGGACCAGAUCCUGCCUCCAAGGAAAUGCCAGCUCCAGCUCCCACAGCUCUACGGAAGGCCUCCCGCAACUAAAGCGGAGGAGGGGGCCAGCCUCAUCCCACUGCCAGCUGGCCCACAGUUCCUCAAACACAGUGAGUGAGGACGGACCUCAGGCUGUCUCUUCGGGUCACACCCGCUGUGAGAAGAAGGCAGGUACAGCACCAGGGCAGACACUUGCCCCCAGGGGUGGCUCCCCCAGAUCCCAGGCCUCUAGGCCCCGCAUCAACACUGCACUGCACGUUGAGGACAAGGCCAUCUCGGACUGCAGACCCUCACGGCCUUCCCACACUUUGUCCUCACUUGCAACAGGGGCUUCGGGUGGGCCUCCCGUUUCUAAAGCACCCACUAUGGAUGCACAGCAGGACAGACCCAAGUCCCAAGACUGCCUGGGCCUACUGGCCCCCCUAGCAUCUGCUGCAGAGGUCUCCUCUACAGCUCCCGUGUCUGGGAAGAAGCACAGACCACCAGGACCCCUGUUCUCCUCCUCAGAUCCCCUUCCUGCCACCUCUUCCCACUCCGGGGACUCAGCCCAGGACACCUCGCUGAUUCCUGCCCCCUUCACACCUGCAAGCAGGGAUGCCGGCAUCAGAAGAAUGUUUCGUGUUCGAAAUUGUUUGAGGGGUUUGGGUUUAUUUUUGUUGGUUUUUUCUUUUUUUUUUUUGCUUACGUGGGCAUCCUUCAGCUUUUAAUAAUCUGAAAAAUUCUAUUUACCCAUUGUCAAUGUGUAUAAAUUAAUCUCAGUCAAUUUUAUACAAUAAAAGGUGAACUUUUAUCC